UCCUGAAUUUAGGCGCAGUAACCAUUAAGUUGCGGGGAGUACGCCAAGGUUAAUCAAAAUUGGGGGCCGCCAAGCGGUGGAGCAUGUGGUUUAAUUGAAGCAACGCGAAGAACCUUACUGCCUUGACAUGCUGAGAACUUUCCAGAGAUGGAUUGGUGCCUUCGGGAAUCAGACACAGGUGUGCAUGGGUGUCAGCUCGGUCUGAGAUGUUGGGUUAAGUCCCGUAACGAGCGCAACCCUUGUCUUAGUUACCAGCACCUCGGGUGGGCACUCUAAGGAGACUGCCGGUGACAAACCGGAGGAAGGUGGGGAUGACGUCAAGUCAUCAUGGCCCUUACGGCCAGGGCUACACACGUGCUACAAUGGUCGGUAMAAARGGUUGCCMAGCCGCGAGGUGGAGCUAAUCCCAUAAAACCGAUCGUAGUCCGGAUCGCAGUCUGCAACUCGACUGCGUGAAGUCGGAAUCGCUAGUAAUCGUGAAUCAGAAUGUCACGGUGARUACGUUCCCGGGCCUUGUACACACCGCCCGUCACACCAUGGGAGUGGGUUGCUCCARRWSUAKCUAGUCUAACCUUCGGGGGGACGGUUACCACGGAGUGAUUCAUGACUGGGGUGAAGUCGUAACAAGGUAGCCGUAGGGGAACCUGC
rnacentral:rRNA from 1 species